AUCGGUAGGAGAAGGUUUGUAUGGGAGAUCGGUAGGAGAAGGUUUGUAUGGAGAUCGGUAGGAGAAGGUUUGUAUGGGAGAUCGGUAGGAGAAGGUUUGUAUGGAGAUCGGUAGGAGAAGGUUUGUAUGGGAGAUCGGUAGGAGAAGGUUUGUAUGGAGAUCGGUAGGAGAAGGUUUGUAUGGAGAUCGGUAG